GCUCUGCCACCCCAUGCUGCAUGCAGCACGCCAUCGGACAGCCAGGAAUGACAGAUUUUGCUGCAGUGCUACACCCUCAUUACGUGUUGCAGCAGAAUCUGUCAGACUUUGUUUUCAGGGUCAUUCUCCAAAUUGCUUUCAUAUAACUUACUUGUCAAAUGCGUUCUCUGGGGUUUCAGCUACAACUGGCCUGUGGCUUCCCACUUGGGUUGGUUUGAAAAUCACAGCAUGUUUCCAAAGCUGAAAGGAGGCUGCAGAGGUUCCAAGCCUGCGCUGAUCAUCUGAUUCCACUGCAGCACUUUCAGCUGCUUGUGCCUUUGAGGUGCCUGUACCUCACGUGGGAGUGCAGUGGGUUACCUUAAAGGGAAAAUCUGAUGAAACUGCUUCAAGAACUUGUUGUUACAUGCGAUAUCUUAGUGGAAUUUACCAGCAUAGAAAGGAGAUUCCUGACCUAGGAUCUGGAACAUUGCUGCAAAAACAGUAAUUCCUCAGGGUGAGAUUGCCUCUGUCCAAAGAAACGGGAACACAGCAGGAAUACACCAGGUGCUCAAGACCACGCCAUUCACCCAGACAAAGCAGGGCCUUCACCUAAAAGGAAUAAGAAAGAAACAUGGCAGAAUUCACAGGUUACAAGGAAACCUCAAAUCGGCACCUCCGGUUCAAGCUGCAGAGUCUUAGCCGCCGCCUCGAUGAACUGGAGGAAGCAACCAAAAACCUGCAGAAAGCAGAGGAUGAGCUGCUGGACCUCCAGGACAAAGUUAUCCAGGCGGAAGGCAGUAACUCCAGCAUGCUGGCCGAUGUUGAGGCCCUGCGGAAACGAGUGCUGAAGAUUGAAGGCAAGGAUGAAGAGAUCAGGAAGGCUGAGGAGCUUUGCCGGUUAAUGAAAGAAAAGCUUGAGGAGGAAGAGAGCCUCACCCGAGAGCUGAAGUCAGAAAUCGAGCACCUGCAGAGGAGGAUGGCAGAGCUGGAGAAGCUGGAGGAGGCCUUCAGCAGGAGCAAGAACGACUGCACGCAGCUGUGUCUCAGCCUCAAUGAAGAGAAGAACUUGACCAAAAAGAUAUCGACGGAGCUAGAAGUGCUCCGAGUGAAAGUGAAAGAACUGGAGGCAUCUGAGGACAGGCUGGAUAAGACCGAGCAGAGCUUGACGGGCGAGUUAGAAAAACUGAAAUCCUUAGCGCUGAGCUUUAUCACGGAAAGAAAACACUUUAAUGAAAGGGAAAAGCAGAACGAAAAAAUCAUCCAGGAGCUAACGCAGAAACUAGAACAAAACAAUAAGCUAAAUAGGGCGGAUCAAACCAGGAAUGCAUCCAACUUGCUAGAAAGGUCAUCAAAUAACUUGCUAGACAGAAACGAUUUGAGGAUUGAAGAUGACUUGACUUCGGCGUUGCCCUCUAAGGAGACCAGGAGGAAGGGAAGCGUGGAUUACCUGAAACAUGUCGAAAAUGAAACCAGGAAUAAGUCGGAAAACCAAAAGAAUAAAAAUCAGGAGGACAACAAAGUGAAAGAUCUCACCCAAGAAAUUGAGAAACUUAAAACUCAGAUAAAAUGUUUUGAAUCUUUAGAAGAAGAGCUUAAAAAAAUGAGAGCCAAAAAUAGUGACCUCCAAGACAGUUACUUGAGUGAGCAGAAUAAAAACAAGCUCUUAGCAGGUCAGCUGGAAGAAAUAAAAAUGCAAAUAAAGAAACAGAAAGAUCUGGAGAAUGGAGAGGUAGAAAAUGAAGACACAAGCUUUGCUAGCAGGGGAAAACAUGACAGACCUAAAUACAGGGGUGUAAUAGCUGAUUUGACAGCUGCCAAGCACAAGCCAAGGGAGCUCUCGCCGCAGCAGCGCCGGGAAAGAGCAAGGAACAGAGAUUUCUCUGUCAGCAAUGACAGCUAUGCCCACGGUGGGAAGCAGGUGCCCAGUCCAAGCUUAACAAGCAGAAAAGCAGGCAAAGCCUCCGGUGCCUCUGCCCUUUCAGACACUGCCGCCACAGACACAAAAAGGCUGGAAGAGAAAUCUUCAGUUUCCACUUUUUCUUCUGGUCAGAAGGAAGGCUGCGUCCCUCACAAUGAGGGGAAGAGAGCAAAAGAGCAGCCCUCUGUCCUGAGCCGAUACCCUCCUGCUGCACAGGAGCAGAAGUCUUGGAAAGCACCUUCCAAACCUGUCGGUGACCCAGGCCUGAGAUCCAAAGCUGAGAAGCCAACUCAGGUGCUCCGUGGGAGCGGAGCUGACACACGGGAUGAGAAGUCAAACAAAGGAGAAUCAGUGGCUUCUUUGGCAGAGAAGCUGAAAACGAGUCAGGCAGAAGUCAGUGACUGCUCGGGGGACACGCAGCUCACCAGGGGUAACCACACGUCUUCCAAUGGCCCAGGUUCUGCAUACAAGUACCAGCUCUCCCAUGUGUCAGCAUCUGACUCUAAAGUAGAAGCAGUGAACAGUCCUGCUGCAUCACACAGACAGCCUUCAGAGGGGAGGGCUAAAAGAGCAGUCAUCUCCCAGGAAAAAGAAUUUGCAGACACAUCGCUUGAAUGCACCAAGGCUUCAACACUAACAAAGGGUUCGCAUCGCUCCCGGAGUCAGGAGGACAUGCUGCAGAUUGGCACAGGGCUCGAGAAGGAAGACACGGAGCAGUCUUCAACUGCAGUGACGGAUCGUGUAAACGCUUGUUUAAAAAUGGACCCCAAAACCACCCAGAGUAACCAAGAAAAGCUUAAUUCAGAUGAGGAAUCGGGAAGAAGCAAAAAAGCGCAGUCAGAUUUUGAGACAAGAAGGAAAGUAAGUUCCAAGCAGUUCUCCAAUUCCAGGGGAGUUUUUAGAGCAUCACUUUUUGAAAAUGACAAAAACACUGUAAAUGAUGAAGACCCCACCAAGUGUAUAAAACCACCUGAUGCCAGCACUGGAGGACUUAAAUCUAGAAGGUCGUUCAGCCCAAGAGAAGCUCUGAGAUCAAAAGCUGUCAUUAAACCUGCAAUUGUUGAAAAGGAUAUGAAGGCAGUGAUGGGAGGAACCGUUUCUGAGGCUGAAUCCGAAAAACAAAAGUCUGUUUUUAAACCAGUAACAAAUAAAAUGACAAGCAGCAUCACAAUCUUCCCUUCUGAGCCAACAGCUCCAAGAGGCAGUGCAGAUACAGCAGCAAAGGAAAGACAUGUUACCACCAGCAACAUCAGAGUUGCUCCAAAUGAACCUUCCCCAGUAGCAAACAAUCUCCCCACGCCCGUUGAGAUAUCGAUCAGUAAAAGUGCUCUGAAAUCAUCUGAGGCAGACAGAACUGGAGAGGCAGCGCCGAGAAGCAAAGCAGAAACAGUGGUGUCCAGAAGCAGCAUUAUGAUAAAGACUUCUGAGCUCAGCGAGAGGAGCACUGAGCCACCUUCAGAGACAAUCAGCUGGAAGAGCCAUGGCUCUUCAGAUGCAGUUUCAUGCGAAACGAAGCAUGUCACUGUGAGAAGUUCCUGGAGAACAAGACAAGGCUUACAUUCCCUGGAGCACCCUCAGCCCAAAGGGGAGAGAGGUGCAGCUUCCAGUACCACAAGCAGGUGUAUGUCCUCAGUGGACCUCUUGGAAAUGGAAGGGAACAAUGCAAGAACAAGCGUCCUGGAGCAGACCUCAGCAAGGACCAAUGCCACGGCUGAUUCCUGGAGUGCCCCUGAACUGGGAUCCCGAAGGACCAAAAGUAACUUAAGUGCAUCUGAACUGCUCACACGCAGGAGCUGUGCAAGUGAUCCUCCAGCAGCUUCUGCUUGGCCCCGGACCACACUACCUGAUGAAAGCAAGGAUUUUGUGCCCAGUUCCAGAAGGAAACAGUACGGCUCUUCUGAGUAUCUGUCACAGGCUGACACAGCAGGGAAAAGGCCAGCCACCAAGAUGGAGCUGCAGGACCCUGAAUCCAGCCCCCACGCACCACUGAGUCUCCAAGGGGAGGAGCAGGUAUGUGAAUUGAAGGACCAUGCAGAAAAGAGAGUGACAAGGCAGGAAGCCAAUAUCUGAGCUGACCUCCCAGUGACAUAACUUAGAGAACUUGUCCAAAGUGAAUGCAAACCUUUUAGGAGAAAGCCAGUCCAAAAUCAGCGCUGCCCAGAGGUGGGGUGUCUCCUGCAUUGCCUCCAUCAGUUAUUCUACUCAUUCCCUGUAACAUUAAAAACUACUGCCUUGUUUUUUUUGUUCUGAACUUGUUUCAGCUAGUUUUAUGGCUAAAAACAGUCUCUAGGGAAUAAGAGGCACUGCUUCUAGUCAACCUCUGGCACACACUGGACCAUCAGGGAUGGGAAAAGCAACCCAUUUGGAGAGGCAAAAUCAGAGUCCCUGCUUCAGCUGGCUGCUGUACCCCUAGGGUGCUUGGCUGCUGCUACAUACCUGCUGCUCUGCCUUCUGAGCCACAUCUUUCUGCAGACAUGAAGAAGUGGCAGAUGGGCCACAUUAUAGUGACUGGGACUUAUUGCCUGAAAUAAGCCCCCUUCAGAAGAGACAGGGAUCUAGGCUUUUCAUUCCUAGGUGCACAGCCAUGCUUAUGUCUGUACAAAAGACUUUCUUUGUCUCCUGGAAUUCCCUAUUUGUCUGUGCAGCUGCCCAGAGCAGAGUGCAUCUUUCCAUGUAUGGAUCAGCCGCAGCAGGAAAUAUCUUAAGACCUCAGUCCUGUUGUCAGUGCUUCUCAGUGGAGGUGCCCAGGAGUUGCUGAGUCUUGCUGUGAGAGCAGCAGAACUGCAGUGAGGCAGCCCUAUAUACUCAUACCUCUGGGGGAAGCUACACAAAACAAAGAGCCCAGAGGGAUGUGGUCCCAGCUGAGAUUUGCAGACUGCCACUUAGAGACAGGUAAUGUUUCCAGUAGAGGGUAGUGAACUUUCACUGUCCCUGUUGGUAGCCAAGGAAACAGACACCAUAGUGAUGCUGUCUGUGGUCACUGAGAGGUGUUAUGCAGAUGCAGACUCCUGUAUCUGAGGCUGUGCUGUGCUUUCUUUGUCUGCACAGACUGGGUCAACAACAAAUGAAAACUGGGGUAAGGUCAGGUCCCCAUAACAUACACACUGUCAUUUUGAGCUUCUGUCUUUGUCCAGACCUCCACCAGCUGUAACAGGAGCCUGAACACCUUGCCCGUGAAAGACGUGCUCUGACAUUAGAUCAGUUCCAUCUUGUCUGUGUUGUCAGGUGCAUCUAACUUCUACGACCCACAUGCUGGGUGUGAUGUGGGUGCACUGUAUGCUACAGCAUUAAAAAAGCUAGUAGGUCCUGCCUGUGCAGGGCAGGGCUGGGUCAUUCUGCUUUGGGCUUACUGCACUGUAAACACUGACAGAACCUGUAUCUUCCAAACUGAUCCUGCCACUGCCCUGCCCUGCCCCACUGCUGGGCUAGGAUCCUGAUGGGCUUUGGGAUUGCUGCCUAUGGGCUAUCACAGUGCUCGUCCCCAGAGCAAAACUGCUGCCAGAGGCAGCCGCAGGUCCUGGCCAGUCUGUGAUGCUGCAGGGUUGUGUCUUACAGGGUGCUUCCCGGGCCUGCCGGACAACAUCUCGGAGAUGAGCUGUGUUGCCUUCCACCCAAAGAGCACGCUGCACAGUGGAGCAAGAGGCAGGACAGGACCAAGCUCAUGGGUGUCCCACCUGUUUGUAACCUCUGCCUGAAACCAGUUUUCUAAUGCGAUUUGCAAGGUACAGGGGCUUUACCAGUGAAUUCAUUUUCUUCUUUGCUGAAGAGGCAGCUUCAGAGACUUUGCUCAGGGGACUCCCACUUCUCAUCUCUGUACCUGCAAUCUUACAUCUGCUCCAUAGGAUGAUAGGUCUGUCUCCAUAUGGAAGUCUUGACUGCACAGCCACUCUGAACGAUGGUACUGCCUGGACAAGAGAGAACUUCUUAAUCACUUGCAUUUAGACAAGAUCCCAGAAGUAUCCCUGUGGCUACAGUCCACCAGCCCAUGACAGCUGUCCUGCAUGGCUCCACAUCCAAAAGCUUUCUGUUUCUAGGGAGAGUUUGCAUUCUCCUAAUACACCCUUGUUGGCUUGAGUUGUGGUCACCUCAGUACCUGUGUUCCCAGCACCCUCUGUCAUAAGGCAGGAGGAAACCAUUCCCCACUGGUUGCUUUACACAUUAAAAGGGAAGGAGAGCAGAAAAUGUUGUUUAGAAGCAGCUUCCUCCCUAUUGAUGUCAGUCUCUGCAACAAGCUUUGCAUGACCUGCUCACCACAAGCUGAGAUCUUGCACCAAGAAGUCAACCACUGAGCCAAACCAGCAUCAAUUCAUGCAACAGUGAAACUCCCUCUCGACUUGGACUGGGGUGCUUUUUUACCUGAAGCUUUAUGUCUCUUGUGCUCUGCAGGCAGCAGCCCUGCUGCACUUUCUCAGCAGUUGCUCUCUAAAAGAAACAGACAAGCAGAAUGUCCUUGUUCCUUUCAAAAACAGGGUGGAGGCAGUGGGACUGGAACCUCAGAUGAGCUCCAGUAAGGCUAUCUAGGCAGCCUUGGUCCAUGCACCUCUUCAGGACCACCUCAUCUGGCAUGUCUGGGACUCAGGUAUGGUCAGAGACUGCUUCAAAUAGAGGUACGUUACCCUGCCAGUGCCCACAGGCAGAUGGUGAUGAUGAUGAUGAUGAUGAGUGCAGAUGAUGUUGCUGUUGGGGGAGACACUGACCCCACAGCUCCAGGAGAUGCUCAGGUGUUGGAGCAGCAUCUGCCCUGAGCAAAGUGACUGCAUCUGGCUCACACAGAGCUCUGCAGGUCCUUCCUUCACAUCCCACCACCCCGCUACAGGUCUCCUGUCCUGCCUGUUGGGAGCAGCCACCCCUCUUUGCUGAGGGACAAGGACAACGCUGCAGAAGGGAAAAGGUCCCUUGUUUGGUUUGGAGGUGCUGCAGGAAUAGCUGUGCCCCAGCAGCUCCCAUAUGCGCCCCGCUCUCAUUCCCACAGUUCGCCUUCCAGACGAGCAGCUACCACAGCAGUGACCCAGGCACAUCUGUGCCAUUUGUCCUCCCUGUCCCUUGGAAUUAUGCCUCAAUUCUGAGAGGCAAAUGAAGUAAAAAAAAACACAGCUGGUUGGAAAAUAUCUAUGAAAGCAUUUAUAUAAAAAGGAAAGUGUUCCAAUGCUGUGAUUUUUCUUCUAAUAAAGAUUGUUUGGAGGAAGGGAAAAAAUAUUUUU